rnacentral:rRNA from 1 species
ACGGGAGGCAGCAGUGGGGAAUAUUGGGCAAUGGGCGCAAGCCUGACCCAGCAACGCCGCGUGAGGGAUGAAGGUUUUCGGAUUGUAAACCUCUGUCCUUGGUGACGAACACAAUGACGGUAGCCAAGGAGGAAGCCCCGGCUAACUACGUGCCAGCAGCCGCGGUAAUACGUAGGGGGCGAGCGCUGUUCGGAAUCACUGGGCGUAAAGGGAGCGCAGGCGGGGAUGCAAGCAGUCUGUACAAUACCGGGGCCCAACCCCGGACCUGCAGACUGGACUGUUUCCCUUGGAUAGCUCAGGGGCUGGCGGAAUUCCUGGUGUAGCGGUGGAAUGCGUAGAGAUCAGGAAGAACACCGAUGGCGAAGGCAGCCAGCUGGGGGCUUAUCGACGCUCAUGCUCGAAAGUGCGGGUAGCAAACAGGAUUAGAUACCCUGGUA